rfam:Angomonas deanei Cont12662, whole genome shotgun sequence.
AUGGGAUUCGAAUGCGCUGUCGUUUGUAAAUUUCGACUUGUGCGGGAAACGUCUCAAAGAUUU